UACAGAGGGCUCAAGCGUUGUUCGGAUUCACUGGGCGUAAAGGGUGUGUAGGCGGCGCCGUAAGUCGGGUGUGAAAUUUCGGAGCUUAACGCCGAAACUGCAUUCGAUACUGCGGUGCUUGAGGACUGGAGAGGAGACUGGAAUUCAUGGUGUAGCAGUGAAAUGCGUAGAGAUCAUGAGGAAGACCAGUGGCGAAGGCGGGUCUCUGGACAGUUCCUGACACUGAGGGACGAAAGCGAGGGGAGCGAAUGGG
rnacentral:rRNA from 1 species